rnacentral:rRNA from 1 species
CGAGACUUUGCAGAGAUGCUUUGGUGCCUUCGGGAACUCUGAGACAGGUGCUGCAUGGCUGUCGUCAGCUCGUGUUGUGAAAUGUUGGGUUAAGUCCCGCAACGAGCGCAACCCUUAUCCUUUGUUGCCAGCGGUCCGGCCGGGAACUCAAAGGAGACUGCCAGUGAUAAACUGGAGGAAGGUGGGGAUGACGUCAAGUCAUCAUGGCCCUUACGAGUAGGGCUACACACGUGCUACAAUGGCGCAUACAAAGAGAAGCGACCUCGCGAGAGCAAGCGGACCUCAUAAAGUGCGUCGUAGUCCGGAUUGGAGUCUGCAACUCGACUCCAUGAAGUCGGAAUCGCUAGUAAUCGUAGAUCAGAAUGCUACGGUGAAUACGUUCCCGGGUCUUUUACCAACACCGA